rnacentral:rRNA from 1 species
CUCGGGGAUUGUACACACCGCCCGUCAAGUCACGAAAGCUGGCAACACCCGAAGUCAGUGGCCCAACCUUUUUGGAGGGAGCUGCCGAAGGUGGGGUUGGUAAUUGGGACU